GUGAUUUUCAAUGACCAAUAUUUAUUUCAGUAAUCAUUCAAUACAGUAUUACAAUAAUCCAAUGUCAAUACAUUUUAUGAACUCUGCAGUAUAAAAUGCUAUAUGUUGGAAACAAGUUUAUCUAACCAAAGAUUUAUGAAGCAGUUCUCUUUCUUUAAGGGUACAGUAUUGCUGGGUGCAACGACGUGCCUGUAGUCCCAGCUACUUGGGAGGCUGAGGCCAGAGGAUCACCUGAGCCCAGGAGUUCUGGACUGCAGAGAGCUGUGCCAAUCAGGUAUCUGCACUAAGUUCAGUAUCAAUAUAGUGACCUCCUGGCAGUGGGGGACCACCAGGUUGCCACAGGAGGGGUGAAUUGGCUCAGGUCUGAAAUGGAAGAGAUCAAAACUCCUGUGCUGAUCAGUAGUGGGAUUGCGCCUGUGAAUAGCCACUGCACUCCAGCUUGGACAACAUAGCAAGACUGCUUCAAAAAAAAAAAAAAAUGGCUACAAUAUUAUGGAGAAAGAAGAGUAAAUGAGAUUAGACUAAAAGAAUGUUGUAAUUUUUAAAAAGAUGAAAACAAAAAAUGAGAAAAACUUACAUGGCAUCUUUCAGGAAGAUCCAUAAUACUCAUGUAUACAUGCAUGUGUAUUCUAACCACUUCCAAAACAAUCCAAAAUAAUCUUUGUAAUAGAAUUUGACUACAUUAUGUGAUCUAGACCCUCGCUGCUCAAAGGGCUCUGAGCAGCACUGGUGUCACCUGGAAGUUAGAAGUGAAUGAAGAGUCUCAGGCAUCUCAGGCUCCACCAGACCUACGGUGGCAGAUGACACUUUCCAAAUAUGGCCGCCACAAUAUGUUCCUCCCCAGAUGCUCUUCUUUCACUGUGAAGUUGACAAUCCCCUGUUAAAUGAUGAGGUCAACAUCCCCUUAAACCUAGGCAGGCAGACCUUUAUGACUGCCUUGCCCAAUAGGGUAUGGCACAAAUGAUGUUAUGUGACUUCUGAGGCAAGGUCAUAAAAAUGCCAUGCAACUGCCACCUUGCUCAGUUGGGAUACUUGGUGGAACCUGGCACCACGUUGUAAAGGAGCCAAGCAUCCCCAUGGGGAGGAUACCUGUGGGUUUAGUGGUCAAGAGCCCCACCUGGGGUCCCAGUCAACAACCAGCAUCAACCACAAUGAGAGUACAUGAGCCUCCAGGUGAUUUCAGUUCCCCGCCAUCAAGUCACCUUCCGAAUCAAACUUUCCCAUUUAACCAUGUUUGGGGACAAGACAACCCCACCAAACCCUGCCCAAAUUCCAGAUUUGUGAGCAAAAUAAAUGAUUAAUCCUUGAAUGGCUGUUUUAAGGCACUUGUUUGGGAAUAUCUGCUAUAUAGCAACAGACAUCCAGAACAGCUACUCUAUCAUGAUUUGCAUUUCAUCAAGAUCCUCAGUGACUCACAUGCACAUAAAAAUGUGAGAAGUGUUGAUUUUAUUCACUUAUUUUUUAGAGAAAGAGUCUUGCUCUGUUGCCUAGGCUGGAGUGCAGUGAAAUCACUGUAACCUUGAACUCACUGUAACCUUAAACUCCUGGGCUCAAAGGAUCCUCCUGCCUCUCAGCCUCCCAAGUAGCUGGGACUACAGGCAUGUGCCACCAUGGGUGGGUAAUUUUUUUUUUCUGUAUUUUUUUGUAGAGAUGGGGUCUCACUAUGUUGCCCAGGCUGAGCAACUCCUGGCCUCAAAUGAUCCUCUUGCCUUGGCCUCUGAAAGUACUGAGAUUACAGAUAUGAGCCACUUGCCCCUGGCCAGUACUGAUUUAAAGUAAAAUUGUGUAACAUUUAAUUUUCCUACAGCUCUUAACAACAUUGAUGGCAAAUUAUGAAAGGCUGUAUAAUGAGUGAAAAUCAUAUUUAAGGUAAUUGUUUCCAGAAAGCUGCAUUAUAACUGCCUGUUAAAUGUGCUGUGUUCUUCAGGUGUCAAGACUGGUCCAAAUCUUGGGUCAGACUCACAUUUGGAGAGUAUCGUCUCCAUGAGAGUCAGAAGAAAAUGGGCAAAGUAAUUGAGGAGGCGAGCUACAAGAUUUCCGAAGCUGACACUCCUGAAAUAUAAAGAUGAGGACUGAGGGACUCACUAACAAGGUGGCUGGCUCUCCCCAGAGUGAAUGAUUCCAGAGAAGGCCAGAAAGAGUCACUGCAUCUAAAACGGAACCUGCAGUAUUUUGUAACCUCAUCUCAAAAGUGACAAACCAUCACUUCUGUCAUAGUCUUGUCUUUAGAAGUCAGUCAAUUCAACCCACGUAGAAAAAGGGGAUUGCACAGCAAUCCCAUUACUGGUUAUAUACCCAGACAAAUAUAAAUCAUUCUACCAUAAAGACACACGCUUGUGAUUGUGAAUGUUCACUGCAGCAAAGACACAGAAUCAACCUAAAGGCCCAACAAUGACAAAUUGGAUAAAGAAAAUGUGCUACAUAUACAACGUGGAAUACUACGCAGCCAUAAAAAAGGAGAUCAUGUCAUUUUUGCAGGAACAUCGAUGGAGCUGGAGGCUAUUACCAUUAGUAAACUAACUCAGGAACAGAAAACCAAAUACUGCAUGUUCUCACUUAUAAGUGGGAGCUAAAUGGUAAGAGUGAUGAAGGCAAAGAAGGAAACAACAGACA
rnacentral:lncRNA from 10 species